AACGAACGCUGGCGGCAUGCUUAACACAUGCAAGUCGAGCGCGAACCAAGGGCUUGCUCUUGGGGAAAGCGGCGCACGGGUGAGUAACGCGUGGAUAACGUACCCUAGGGUUGGGGAUAACCUGCCGAAAGGCGGGCUAAUACCGAAUAUGUUCUUUGAAAGGAUUGCUUUUAAAGAGUAAAGCAGGGCAACUUGCGCCCAAGGAUCGGUCCGCGUCCUAUCAGCUUGUUGGCGGGGUAAUGGCCCACCAAGGCGAAGACGGGUAACUGGUCUGAGAGGACGACCAGUCACACUGGGACUGAGAUACGGCCCAGACUCCUACGGGAGGCAGCAGUCGAGAAGCUUCGGCAAUGGACGAAAGUCUGACCGAGCGACGCCGCGUGAGCGAUGAAGGCCCUAGGGUCGUAAAGCUCUGUCAGGAGGGAAUAAAUACCUGCGAUCAAUGCCCGCAGGGGCUGAAGGUACCUCCAGAGGAAGCGCCGGCUAACUACGUG
rnacentral:rRNA from 1 species